rnacentral:rRNA from 1 species
GAUGAACGCUGGCGGCGUGCUUAACACAUGCAAGUCGAGCGAAGCGCUUUUGCGGAUUUCGUUCGGAUUGAAGCAACUGUGACUGAGCGGCGGACGGGUGAGUAACGCGUGGGUAACCUGCCUCAUACAGGGGGAUAACAGUUGGAAACGGCUGCUAAUACCGCAUAAGCGCACAGUACCGCAUGGUACCGUGUGAAAACUCCGGGUCGGUAUGAGAUGGACCCGCGUCUGAUUAGCUA